rnacentral:rRNA from 1 species
AGCGAACGCUGGCGGCAGGCCUAAAACAUGCAAGUCGAACGGAUCCUUCGGGAUUAGUGGCGGACGGGUGAGUAACACGUGGGAACGUGCCUUUUGGUUCGGAACAACUCAGGGAAACUUGAGCUAAUACCGAAUGUGCCCUUCGGGGAAAGAUUUAUCGCCAUUAGAGCGGCCCGCGUCUGAUUAGCUUGUUGGUGAGGUAAAGGCUCACCAAGGCGACGAUCAGUAGCUGGUCUGAGAGGAUGAUCAGCCACACUGGGACUGAGACACGGCCCAGACUCCUACGGGAGGCAGCAGUUAGGAAUCUUGCGCAAUGGGGGAAACCCUGACGCAGCCAUGCCGCGUGAAUGAUUAAGGUCUUAGGAUUGUAAAAUUCUUUCAGCGGGGACGAUAAUGACGGUACCCGCAGAAGAAGCCCCGGCUAACUUCGUAGCCAGCAGCCGCGGUAAU